rnacentral:rRNA from 1 species
UCGGGAAUUUUGGGCAAUGGGCGCAAGCCUGAUCCAGCCAUGCCGCGUGUGUGAAGAAGGCCUUCGGGUUGUAAAGCACUUUAAGUUGGGAGGAAGGGCCAUUACCUAAUACGUGAUGGUUUUGACGUUACCGACAGAAUAAGCACCGGCUAACUCUGUGCCAGCAGCCGCGGUAAUACAGAGGGUGCAAGCGUUAAUCGGAAUUACUGGGCGUAAAGCGCGCGUAGGUGGUUUGUUAAGUUGGAUGUGAAAUCCCCGGGCUCAACCUGGGAACUGCAUUCAAAACUGACUGACUAGAGUAUGGUAGAGGGUGGUGGAAUUUCCUGUGUAGCGGUGAAAUGCGUAGAUAUAGGAAGGAACACCAGUGGCGAAGGCGACCACCUGGACUGAUACUGACACUGAGGUGCGAAAGCGUGGGGAGCAAACAGGAUUAGAUACCCGCGUAGUCCCUGAGCGGGCUGGCAAGGCGCAU